AGUGGAACUGCAAUUGAAGGGCUACCUGCAAGCAUUGGUAAUUUGAAAUCUCUUAAGAAACUUGAUCUGAGUGAAACCGCAAUUGAAAGUCUACCUGCAAGCAUUGGUAAUUUGGAAUCUCUUGAGAACCUUGAUUUGAGUGGAACCGCAAUUAAAAGCCUACAUGCAAGCAUUGGUAAAUUGCAAUAUCUUCAGAAAUUUUAUCUGAGUGGAACCGCAAUGGAAAGCCUACCUGCAAGCAUUGGUAAUUUGAAAUGUCUGGAUAAACUUGAUCUGAGUGGAACCGCAAUUAAAAGCCUACCUGCAAGCAUUGGUAGUUUGAGAUCUCUUGAGAAACUUGAUCUGAGUGGAACUGCAAUUGAAAGCCUACCUUCAAGUAUUGGUAGUUUGAAAUCUCUUGAGAACCUUGAUUUGAGUGGAACCGCAAUUGAAAGCCUACCUGCAAGCUUUGACAAUUUGAAUUCUCUUGUGAAACUUGAUCUGAGUGGAACCGCGUUUAAAAGCUUAC
rnacentral:lncRNA from 1 species